GUCCACGCCGUAAACGAUGGAUGCUAGUCGUCGCGGGUAUUGACCCCUGCGGCAACGUAGUUAACGCGUUAAGCAUCCCGCCUGGGGAGUACGGCCGCAAGGCUAAAACUCAAAGGAAUUGACGGGGGCCCGCACAAGCGGUGGAGCAUGUGGUUCAAUUCGACGCAACGCGAAGAACCUUACCUGGGUUAAAUCCACCGGAACCCCUCAGAGAUGAGGGGUGCUCGCAAGAGAGCCGGUGAGAAGGUGCUGCAUGGCUGUCGU
rnacentral:rRNA from 1 species